rnacentral:tRNA from 1 species
AGGAUUCUAGCUUAAAGGUUAAAGCAAACCACUCAUAAUGGUGAAAUAAUGGUUCAAUUCCAUUGAAUCUUA